rnacentral:misc_RNA from 1 species
AUCAUAUUUUCAUUUAAAACUUGUGUCAUGUUGUCUUUUAUCAUUUUGCACAAUUCAAAUGUAUUCCAAGUCAUGUCCAUGGUCAUUAUUUUACCAAGUUGAAAGUUGAAGCACUGAAAGCUACCAACUGAGUGGUGACAUGCAAUAAAAUUCUUGGCUUGUACUGGACAAAUAUAUUUAUAUGCAUUUGAAUAUUGAGGGAAAAAAAAAA